rnacentral:rRNA from 1 species
GGGGAAUAUUGCACAAUGGGCGAAAGCCUGAUGCAGCGACGCCGCGUGCGGGAUGAAGGCCUUCGGGUUGUAAACCGCUUUCAGCAGGGAAGAAGCGAAAGUGACGGUACCUGCAGAAGAAGCACCGGCUAACUACGUGCCAGCAGCCGCGGUAAUACGUAGGGUGCGAGCGUUGUCCGGAAUUAUUGGGCGUAAAGAGCUUGUAGGCGGUUUGUCGCGUCUGCUGUGAAAAUCCGGGGCUCAACCCCGGACCUGCAGUGGGUACGGGCAAACUAGAGUGUGGUAGGGGAGACUGGAAUUCCUGGUGUAGCGGUGAAAUGCGCAGAUAUCAGGAGGAACACCAAUGGCGAAGGCAGGUCUCUGGGCCAUUACUGACGCUGAGAAGCGAAAGCGUGGGUAGCGAAC